UGUGGGUACGGACCAGUGGAAUUUUGGCCAAAGACUAUAAAGAGUUAACAAACCCUUGCAUCAGGUGAGGCAAGAAACUCAAGUCAAGAACCCACUUGUGGGCAGCAGAUGGGGUCUCUGUGCCUAAGUUGCCUCAUCUCUUAGCUGAGGAGUUUGUCCAGAUCGGAAAAGACUGUUUGUAGUUGUCUCUUAGUAACAUCCAUCCCAUGGCUUAAUUCCUGAUAACACAAAGUACAGCAAAUAUACAACAAAGCACAGGGCUGGCCAAGAACACAAGGUAGUGCCAAUAGGAAGAAGGGGUCAGAGUCCAAGGUACUGGGCCACCAGCUUUGUCCACGCUAGGGCACCGCUGUGUCAAGAACAGAAGUGCAUGCAGAGGCAGGGCUGUCUGCACCAGCAGAUGGCCUUUCAAGGGCCUCUCCAUGCACGAGGUGGUAGGUCUCAGCCUCGGCGAGCUCACCCAGGGGACGGACACUAUAAAACUUACCGGCAGAGGUCUGAGAAGCCCUAGCUGCUGCGGCUUUCUCCGGUGAGGGCCUGUGACUGCCCAGGAAGGUGUAUCCGUUGCGCAUGCACGUACCUGCAAAGGCGUGCAUCGUGCGUGCGCUGGCCCGGAAAUACGUGCUCGUCCAUGCAAGUCUGCGCAUGCGUAUGGGCGCAUACGUGCCUACGCGGGUGCGCACAGACAGACACAGUGGCCACGUUAUUUGUGAGCCUCGGAUCAGAUAAGAGGACGCAGUCACCUACAUGUUUGUGCGGGGUCGUGAGGAAGGACCACAAGAAGUACACUGAGCCUUCGCCGGUAGGACUUCAGGGAGGGAUUACAUGCACAGGCCACAGUGGGCCUGGGGUUCUGAAGGAUACCAGACUCCAAGCAGGCCGGGUUAAAGACAGCGGGCAAGAGAGGACCUGCAGCUGCGUGGCCAGUCAUCAGAACACUCCAGGAUACUUCACGAUGGUGCCUUCACAAAACCUCAAGGAGCCAGCGGGACCCAGGCUGCUCUGUGCCCAUCAGGUAUGGAACAAGGUCUUCCAGGUCCUUUCAGCUUUGUACAGUCACAGUUUGGGUGCCUCUAAGAAAAUAAUAAAGUGUGUCCCCAGUUCAUCAGAGAAAACUGAAUGCUUUAAAUCUCUGUAA
rnacentral:lncRNA from 1 species